AAAAAUUGCACUGCAUUAACACAUUUUCUUUUCUUUCCCGUUUUAGUAAUACUGUACGUUAUCAUGAAUCGCAAUUAUGCUUUCUAUUUCAUCGUUUUGCUUAUGGUGAUAUCUGUUUAUUUGGCUCCAAGAGUGUUGGGUUUACGUAGUGUUUGUGGUGGAUACUGUCAAUCCGACAAUGACUGUUGGGAUAGGAACUAUUGUCCCCGUUGUCAUUACGAUCCUGUAAAGGUUACCUACUUCUGUGGACGCUAAAGGAUCAUUGUUGAUGGCCAGCACAAUAUGAAAUCUAGUCCUUCCGACGUACGUUGCUUGGACUUUUCAAAAUUAUUGUCGCGUUCAUGUUGGAUUCUUUAAAAUGCACUACUUUUAAGUUUUCACGCAUCCGACAGGCACUGCGACAUUUUGAAGAGUCCGAAAGUAGAUGUUUUGUGGUUUAUUGUCUUUGCUUUUCUGUUUUUAUUUCCCCAUUUCAGCUCUUUCUUAUGGGAAGAAAAUAAAAUGACUAAGUUCUACUUCUACCUAGAUUAGAACUAUAUAUGUCGGAUGUAAUAUCAAGAUUGGGUUGUGUUGGCCUAUAUGUUUCUGUAUUUUAAUGUUUAAUAAACUCUAUCGUUAUUAA